rnacentral:misc_RNA from 1 species
UACGAGAACCUCAAGCGUUAUCCGGAAUUAUUGGGCGUAAAGAGCUCGUAGGCGGUUUGUCGCGUCUGCCGUGAAAGUCCGGGGCUUAACCCCGGAUCUGCGGUGGGUACGGGCAGACUAGAGUGCAGUAGGGGAGACUGGAAUUCCUGGUGUAGCGGUGAAAUGCGCAGAUAUCAGGAGGAACACCGAUGGCGAAGGCAGGUCUCUGGGCUGUUACUGACGCUGAGGAGCGAAAGCAUGGGGAGCGAACAGG